GGGGCUCAACCCCAGGGGUGCGUUGGAUACUGUGAGGCUAGACGGUCGGAGGGGGUAGCGGAAUUUCCGGAGUAGCGGUGAAAUGCGCAGAUACCGGAAGGAACGCCAAUAGCGAAGGCAGCUACCUGGACGACUUGUGACGCUGAGGCGCGAAAGCGUGGGGAGCAAACCGGAUUAGAUACCCGGGUAGUCCACGCCCUAAACCAUGAGUGCUGGGUGUCCGGCUUCUGCUGGGUGCCGUAGCUAACGCGCUAAGCACUCCGCCUGGGAAGUACGCACGCAAGUGUGAAACUCAAAGGAAUUGACGGGGGCCCGCACAAGCGGUGGAGCAUGUGGUUUAAUUCGAAGCGACGCGAAGAACCUUACCAGGCCUUGACAUGCCCGGAACCCCUCUGAAAGGAGGGGGUGCCCGCAAGGGAGCCGGGACACAGGUGCUGCAUGGCCGUCGUCAGCUCGUGUCGUGAGAUGUUGGGUUAAGUCCCGCAACGAGCGCAACCCCUAUCCCUAGUUGCCAGCAGUUCGGCUGGGCACUCUAUGGAGACUGCCUGCGAAAGCAGGAGGAAGGCGGGGAUGACGUCUGGUCCGCAUGGCCCUUACGGCCUGGGCGACACACGUGCUACAAUGCCAAGGACAGAGCGCUGCUACCUCGCGAGAGGACGCCAAUCGCAAAAACCUUGGCUCAGUUCGGAUUGGAGUCUGCAACUCGACUCCAU
rnacentral:rRNA from 1 species